CGCUGAGGAUGAUGGUGAUUAUGAUGAUGAUGAUGAUGAUGAUGAUGAUCAUCAUCAUCAUCAUCUUCAUCAUAGUCAACAUCGUUG
rnacentral:pre_miRNA from 1 species